UUUCGGUUGCUCUACUCCGUACACGAAUUCUAGGCCCACCCGGGCGAGGCGGAUUCCUGCCUGAUCUGGGAGGUCCCCGCCUAGUCGAAAACCCCAGGGCUCCCUCCCGGGCUGUGAGCAACGGGGACCACCAAUUCCUUGCCCCUCCAACCAGGAGACCUUCCCAGGCCUGACUGAAGUGUUUGCAAAGGCACAUGAGUGGGCUCGGAAAUGGAUGUCCCUGUUGGGUCAUCAGAUGAAAUUUCAGCCUCAUGGUCAAUGAUGGCAACUUCACGAGAGACCUCCCGAAGCCAGACCAUCCUGCUGAACUGCUCCCAGAUUGCUGACCUUCAGAAACUGGGAGAUAAGAGAUGUUUAUAGGUUUUUUUUUUUUUUUUGAGAUGUUUAUAGUAUUAGCCACUCAUUUGGGGGGUCCUCUGUAACAGAGCAGCAAUCAAUGAAUACGAACUUUGCUGCUUUUACAAUAGUGAUCGUUGAUAUGCAUUGGGACCUUUUAUUCUGUUCUAAUCACGAUCACUCACCAGGCCUGGGGUCCAGACUCUCUUACCUAGGCAGCAAAGUGCCUGUUUAGGGUCUCUGUUUCUUCGGUUUACAAUAUAGAUCGUAAUCCUGCCCAUCAAAAGGGCUGUCCUGAGGAUGAGAGGGAAUAAGAUAUUCUGAGUGCCUAUCGCAGCGCCCCCAACAGAGUGGCUUGUUAACAACAACAAAUGAAGCUAUUAUAAUUAACUAGGGAGAAAACGGGUUUUAAAUACUAUUUAUAAUUAAGGGGAUGACCCCAAUGAGACUUGAGAUAAUAGUUCAUCCCUGUGGUGUGGCUUAUUUCAGCCGUUGUUCCUCUUGCUUUAAAGCAAUUUGCAAUUGCUUCAAUGCCCACUUCUCCAAAACAACAGGAAUCUCUGCCAAGCACAGUGGCUUGGAGCUUUGAACCAUCUCCCUCCUGACCGUGG